rnacentral:rRNA from 1 species
ACGGGUGCGUAACGCGUGGGAAUCUGCCCUUUGGUUCGGAAUAACAGCUGGAAACGGCUGCUAAUACCGGAUGAUGACGUAAGUCCAAAGAUUUAUCGCCAGAGGAUGAGCCCGCGUUGGAUUAGGUAGUUGGUGGGGUAAAGGCCUACCAAGCCGACGAUCCAUAGCUGGUCUGAGAGGAUGAUCAGCCACACUGGGACUGAGACACGGCCCAGACUCCUACGGGAGGCAGCAGUGGGGAAUAUUGGACAAUGGGCGAAAGCCUGAUCCAGCAAUGCCGCGUGAGUGAUGAAGGCCCUAGGGUUGUAAAGCUCUUUUACCCGGGAAGAUAAUGACUGUACCGGGAGAAUAAGCCCCGGCUAACUCCGUGCCAGCAGCCGCGGUAAUACGGAGGGGGCUAGCGUUGUUCGGAAUUACUGGGCGUAAAGCGCACGUAGGCGGCUUUGUAAGUCAGAGGUGAAAGCCUGGAGCUCAACUCCAGAACUGCCUUUGAGACUGCAUCGCUUGAAUCCAGGAGAGGUCAGUGGAAUUCCGAGUGUAGAGGUGAAAUUCGUAGA